AUUGAACGCUGGCGGCAGGCCUAACACAUGCAAGUCGAGCGAGCGGCGGACGGGUGAGUAAUGUCUGGGAAACUUCCUUAUUGAGGGGGAUAACUACUGGACACGGUAGCUAAUACCGCCUUCCAUUCGAUUUGCCCAUUUGGGUUUAGCUAGUAGGUGGGGAAAUGGCUCACCUAGGCGACGAUCCCUAGCUGGUCUGAGAGGAUGACCGGCCAAACUGGAACUGAGACACGGUCCAGACGCCUACGGGAGGCAGCAGUGGGGAAUAUUGCACAAUGGGAGCAAGCCUGAUGCAGCCAUGCAGGGUGUGUGAAGAAGGCCUGGGGGUUGUAAAGCACUUUCAGCGGGGAGGCGUUACCAGCAGAAGAAGCACCGGCUAACUCCGUGCCAGCAGCCGCGUAAUUC
rnacentral:rRNA from 1 species